rnacentral:lncRNA from 1 species
GCUGAGAAGCCAGUUCCUCUGCUGAGAUCCUUAUCACCAGGGAAGAAGCUGACAUCGAGGGAAGGGGCCACAACAUACCCGGGAAAAUGCUAUGUGCAUGGCACUCAUUCAUCUAUCUUCUUCUUCAGAUUUUCUUGGAAAAUAAUCUGAGAUCACAGGAAUGACCAUCCUUCUAGAUCAGACUGAAGGUGAUAGCCAUUAACAUUUUGACCCUGCUGCACGUUAGUCAUGUGACAUCACUCAAAGAAUGCCUUGAAGAUGAAGCAUCAUUGUGGUGGUUUGAAUAUGCUUGACCCAGGGAGUGGCACUAUUUGGAGGUGUGGUCUUGUUGGAGUAGGUAUGGCCUUAUUGGAGUAGAUGUGUCACUAUGGGUAUGGGUUUUAAGACCCUCAUCCUCGCUGCCUGGAAGACAGUAUUCUAGCAGCCUUCAGAUGAAAAUGUAGAACUCUCAGCUCUGCUUGCUACCAUGCUCUCACCUUGAUGAUAAUGGGCUGAACCUCUGAACCUGUAAGCCAGCCCCAAUUAAAUGUUUUCCUUU